rnacentral:lncRNA from 9 species
GGGAAAAGCCAGUUCUUGUUCCCUGGGAUUUUCUCCACUCUUAAAAGAAGGAGUUGUUCCUGGAUCACAUUUGAGAACCUUCCUGCCUUCAGGUAGCUGUGGCGGAAACGGAAUUCAUCCUGGAUGCACAACUUGCCUUCUACAAUAAAGGAUCGAUACUGCUCUGUGGCUGUCCUGCAACACAAGAGGGGAACGGUCUGAAGUGUCGACGCCACAGAGGUAGAGCACGGGAUCCACGCUGUCAUCACGGCUGUAGCCUCAGGGCCUAGAACAGGGCCAGACAUACCGUAAGUGCUGAAUAACAAUCCUGCUGUGAUCUGUUCCAUUGACCUCGCUUGUCUCUUCUCCCACUUUGCUCCCCAGGCUCUCAGUCUUAGCCCCACUUCCCGAUUCCAGCUCUUGGAAUGGACCCUACUUUAUAAUGCAUUCACACAUGCAUUCAUUCGGGAAAGAUCUACUUGACUUCCUGUUCUGUGCCAG